AGCCCGGUGGUGUAGCGGACUAGCAAGGGCGUGCAACCCGUCGACGGGAGUUCGAAUCUCCCCCGGGCUACCA
rnacentral:tRNA from 1 species